GGAUCGAUGAUGACACCCACGCAUUCCUUGGAAUCUGAACAAAAUGAGUGAGAACUCACUACCGUCUCCUCAUCGCAACUGAGGUCC
rnacentral:snoRNA from 1 species